UACGUAGGGUGCGAGCGUUGUCCGGAAUUAUUGGGCGUAAAGAGCUUGUAGGCGGCUUGUCGCGUCUGCUGUGAAAAUCCGAGGCUCAACCUCGGACUUGCAGUGGGUACGGGCAGGCUAGAGUGUGGUAGGGGAGACUGGAAUUCCUGGUGUAGCGGUGAAAUGCGCAGAUAUCAGGAGGAACACCCGUGGCUAAGGCGGUUCUCUAGUACGGUACUGACGCUGAGACGCGAAAGCGUGGGGAGCGAACAGG
rnacentral:rRNA from 1 species